rnacentral:rRNA from 1 species
ACAGCAGUAGCCGCGGUAAUACGAAGGGGGCUAGCGUUGCUCGGAAUGACUGGGCGUAAAGGGCGCGUAGGCGGAUUGCGCAGUCAGAUGUGAAAUUCCUGGGCUUAACCUGGGGGCUGCAUUUGAGACGCGUAGUCUAGAGUGUGAAAGAGGGUCGUGGAAUUCCCAGUGUAGAGGUGAAAUUCGUAGAUAUUGGGAAGAACACCGGUGGCGAAGGCGGCGACCUGGUUCAUAACUGACGCUGAGGCGCGAAAGCGUGGGGAGCAAACAGGAUUAGAUACCCGCGUAGUCCCUGUCUCUUAUAC